GCGGCGGUAGUUCAGAGGUAGAAUGUCUGCUUCCCAAGCAGAAGGUCGGGGGUUCAAUUCCCCUCCGCCGCU
rnacentral:tRNA from 1 species